rnacentral:rRNA from 1 species
GUGGGGAAUCUUGCGCAAUGGGCGAAAGCCUGACGCAGCCAUGCCGCGUGAAUGAUGAAGGUCUUAGGAUUGUAAAAUUCUUUCACCGGGGACGAUAAUGACGGUACCCGGAGAAGAAGCUCCGGCUAACUUCGUGCCAGCAGCCGCGGUAAUACGAAGGGGGCUAGCGUUGCUCGGAAUUACUGGGCGUAAAGGGCGCGUAGGCGGACAGCUUAGUCAGAGGUGAAAGCCCAGGGCUCAACCUUGGAAUUGCCUUUGAUACUGGGUGUCUUGAGUAUGAGAGAGGUGUGUGGAACUCCGAGUGUAGAGGUGAAAUUCGUAGAUAUUCGGAAGAACACCAGUGGCGAAGGCGACACACUGGCUCAUUACUGACGCUGAGGCGCGAAAGCGUGGGGAGCAAACAGGAUUAGAUACCCUGGUAGUCC